AACUACUACUAGCAUGCAUGUUUAUUUUUUUUUUAAUUUUAGGUAGACGUCGGGGAAUGAGAAUGUGAGUCUCACCACGCGCCGCCGGCCCGCCGCCGCCAUUGCCACUACUAUCCCAUCACCAUCCCGGCCGGCGAGGACCUCGGCAUCCUCAGUGACGACGAGGAGGGACGUCGUGGUGAGGAUCUACCAGAACUUGAAAUUGGUUUAUCCAAUUUUAUUGUCGUGGACAAUCUGCUAGUUGUUCCUCCAGAAAAGUUUGACAAGCUUGAGAAUGUCAUACGCAAGAUAUGCAGCCAAAUUGGUGAGAUAAAAGAAAAUGGUCUAUGGAUGCCUUUAAACCCAGAGUCAAAGAAGACAUAUGGUUACUGUUUCAUUGAGUAUAAUACACCUCAGUUUCAGUUGUGUUAAUUUAGAGCUGCUACAGGAGCACGUCGUCACAGCGCUUUCAGUGGAGAGCUACUACGAUUCAAGAAGCACUUGAUGUCAGUGAGGUAGCCAGAGAAGUAAGGCAACAGAAAGCCAUUGGAAACAUAGUUAUGCAGAUGAAAUUAAGAGGUUUUAGGAGUGCUGCUUGUACAACUGUUUUGACUUUUGAGAUGAGAAGGUCUUCGAUACAUUUUAAAAUAAAAUGAUCAAAUAUUUAUGGUAUUUGUCCAGGGCUGACAUUAACUGUUCUUACCCUUGUGUAUCCUGAUCUUAAUUAUAGCAAAGGAAACUUGAGUUGCAGUAUAGAUAAUUGCACGAGCAAAACAACUUGGGAAAGAUCCUUUUAGCUUAAGCAAAAGGUUCUUUGAUGACUUCUUGUCAGACAUGGCCAAACUUCAAUGUUUACAACCAUCUGUGGAGCCCUGUGUUUCAGAUCAUGUCGAUGAGAUUAUAGAUAUGAUUAAACAGGUACAUAUACUUGAUUCUGUAUGCAGUACUUAGUGAGAUGCUUAUGCAGUUUC